CAAGACUCGUCAUGCUGACCCAAUACACCUCGUAGACCCCUCGAAGGCUGUCAAGUACAGAAUUGAUGGUCGUCCCUCUACAGGGAGCAUCAGAAUCAGAGGUUCCUGCAACUUAUUCUUUUACCAUUCAAUGCCCCUUGGCAAUCAUUAUUUCACCUGACCGUUUGAUCUCUUUUUUUUCAACAACUUGAGUAUAGGUUCACACGUGGCUGUUAGAGGAGAUGUGAACCAUGACAUGUAGUUCAAUCUACCUAGGAGACCACGAACCUCUUUUUUGUUCUCGGUUCAGGCACUUCUUGUUUUUCUUUUCUUUUUUUUCUUUUUUUUCUUAAAGCAGGACCAACCUCGAUUCCUCUCUUUCAAUGAACCCCAACAGCUUACCGGACCGCACUCUGAUAGUGCGCUUAUCUGAAUUCAACC
rnacentral:lncRNA from 1 species